CGUCAUCAUCAUCAUCGCUUCACCGGCCUGCCCCAAUACAAUUGCCUUGCCCAGCAUCCCACAAUCUACGCACUCGAUCGCACUGAACAAAGGACGUAACCUGUGAAGAUAGGCAGCGAUAGAUAAGGAGCCCUACGGUUCCAUCCCAUCCCCGACGCGCACUGGUAGGAGGAUUACCCCCAUGCUACGAGGUCGUCCGGCAGGCAUCGAGAAGAUUUGUUUUCAAAAUGCACCACAACUUAUGCGGUUUAAUGGCCUCGGAACCGAGGAUCGAAACCAAAAACGGAGAUCAACAAAAGAAGAAAUACGCUACUCAGAACGCGACCCGAAAUUUGAUCCGUAACGUAUCCUUCACCUAUCAUCGCAGCACAGAUAAUAGGGAUACAGAAGGAGUACCCCAAGCCGGAGAAUAAUAAUGAUAAUAAAAAGAACGAUUAUGGCAAUAAACUGCACUGGCAAGUGUUUUUGGGUUUCUGUUUUUGCUGAGCUGCAAUUCUUCGAAAAAUAAAUGAUUAAAUAUGA